ensembl:lncRNA
AUGGCCAUCAUGUCCUGGUGGUGUGAAAUGGGUAAAUUGAGAUUACAACCUCAAUAAUGUGGUUUCUCUCCAGCAGCUCCCACCCAACCCAGAACUGCACGAUGUCACGGUGCACCUACGCUGCUGGAAGAGAAAAUGUUAGGCAUGCGACACCUCAAUGCCUUUAAUUAAAACUUGAAAUUUGAGCCACUAAAUUCUGCCAAAAUAUAUACACCAUGCAUGGAAUUAAUAACUAAGACACAUCGGUUCUCACCUCUUACUGUACUUAAAAACACUCCAUCGGUUACCAAAAUGGUUUGCGAUGGCCGGGAAUCGAACCCGGGUCAACUGCUUGGAAGGCAGCUAUGCUCACCACUAUACCACCAUCGCAUGGAAAAUGCUCGAGUUCUUCUGUAAAUCAUUGACUGAGGAAGAGGAGAGGAGUAGAGGGGACGAGGAGGUGUUAUAGUCAGGAGGAGGAGACAGAGGAGGCCCCUGCAUUCUCGGUAAAGACAUCAAAGACUGUCUGAACUCUACCGGGUUGUAUUUACCGGGGACCUCUCCCGCGUGAAGAGUUUUUAACAGAGCUCGAAUCCUGAAUCCUUGAACGUCCAGUGCUAAACCACUAUGGAUGUAAUAUGUUUUUGGCCACUAGUUGCGCUGUGGUGAUGACACAGCAUUUACCCGUUGUUUGAAU